rnacentral:piRNA from 1 species
UUCUAGAUGAAUGCAUUCUGGAGUUUAGAA